GGGGGUGUACUGGUUUCGACAGGGAUAUGUCUGGUACAGACUGCAGUCGAGUGGUUACGUAAUAACCAAUUAAAUUUAAACGGAAAAACUAAAUUAGCUAACCUCUUUGGUGGAAACCAGAGAAUGGCUUUCGCUGCUUAAUAACCGAUAUAGGUUCGCAGCCGCCUCUGCAUGCUUUUUCCUUGACCAUGUGGAUGUGCGCGUAAGACGCAAGGGAUAAGGAAUCUGGUUUGCCUGAGAUCAGAUUCACGAAAAUUCUUCAGGCACAUUCAUCAGCGGAUGUUCAUGACCUGCUGAUGUCUUAAUCUUCAUGGACUAAACUGUAGAGGUCUGUACGUGGGGCUGUUUCUGGACAGGAGUUCGACUCUCCUCACCUCCACCA
rnacentral:tmRNA from 2 species